GAAAACAAAAAGAACAACAAACAAAACAAAACAGAACAACAACAACAAAAACAGCAACAAAGUAAGGCUUCUGGAAUGAUGCUCUUGGACUUGCUUGAACUUAACCAGAUACGUUCCCUUUACAGUAAGGGAAAUGUUAGUGGGACUCACGGAUACCUGUGCCAACAGAGCACUGCAGGAGGACUGCUGGGUUUUAAAGAAGAAAGAACCUCAGAAGAAGGAAUUGAGGAGGUGAGGAUUACAGCUUUAGCUCCCG
rnacentral:lncRNA from 1 species